GCACCCUUAGCACAAUUGGAUAGUGCAACGGAGUUCUAAUCCGUAGGUUGAAAGUUCGAAUCUUUCAGGGUGUGCCA
rnacentral:tRNA from 1 species